UACAGAGGGGGCAAGCGUUGUUCGGAAUUACUGGGCGUAAAGGGCGCGUAGGCGGCCUGUUAAGUCGAACGUGAAAUCCCCGAGCUCAACCCGGGAACUGCGUCCGAUACUGGCAGGCUUGAAUCCGGGAGAGGGAUGCGGAAUUCCAGGUGUAGCGGUGAAAUGCGUAGAUAUCAGGAGGAACACCGGUGGUGUAGACGGCCUACUGGACCACGACUGACACUGAGGCACGAAAGCGUGGGUAGCAAACAGG
rnacentral:rRNA from 1 species